UACGGGAGGCAGCAGUGGGGAAUAUUGCACAAUGGGCGCAAGCCUGAUGCAGCCAUGCCGCGUGUAUGAAGAAGGCCUUCGGGUUGUAAAGUACUUUCAGUCGUGAGGAAGGUGUUAAGGUUAAUAACCUUAGCAAUUGACGUUAGCGACAGAAGAAGCACCGGCUAACUCCGUGCCAGCAGCCGCGGUAAUACGGAGGGUGCGAGUGUUAAUCGGAAUUACUGGGCGUAAAGGGCACGCAGGCGGUUAAUUAAGUUGGAUGUGAAAUCCCCGGGCUUAACCUGGGAAUGGCAUUCAAGACUGGUUAGCUAGAGUCUUGUAGAGGGGGUAGAAUUCCAUGUGUAGCGGUGAAAUGCGUAGAGAUGUGGAGGAAUACCGGUGGCGAAGGCGGCCCCUGGACAAAGACUGACGCUCAUGUGCGAAAGCGUGGGGAGCGAAACAGGGAUUAGAUACC
rnacentral:rRNA from 1 species